ACUUAUCCAGGUACACGGCCAUCAGGCCAGCUUCUGCACAGAUUGCCUUGAUGUUGGCACCAGAGAGGUAGGUCAUCUGUAGCCACAAUCAAGUUGCCCCUGGUUACGUCACCAACCAGUGUUAUCCUGCUUGUAUGAAUCUGACAGUGGAACUUGAUCUUUCCAGGAACCAGAUUGGGUAGGAACACUUUUUUCACAAGUGGCCAGGGCAACUUGCCAUCUUUUAUUUGACUUCAUUUAUUGGAAACUUCUAAGGAUCUGGAAUUUUUAUUUCUGUUUAGCCCGAAAGCAGACAGCACACACAUGGACAAGUAUUUCACGCGUGGGAAAGCCAACAAAGAAACUGUGCACUCACAUCAAGGAGAUGACGGUAAAGAGAACAUUCUUGGGGCUCAGACCUGGAAAGGGAAUUUUAGUAUUGAAGAGUUCAAUUUCUGAUUGUAAUACUUCCUGGCAAAAUGAAAAUUGCAACAUUUGGUAAAGUGUUAAAAUCUCUGUCUCUCUCCUUCCCGUCAGCUCCACCACCCAUCCCCAGCCUGGUCUGGAUCUUUGUUGAUAUCACCAAAAAACUAUGCAAUUAGAAAAAACUAUCUAUCUGAUCUAUAAUGAGGAGAGUGUGAUGUUCUGCAUGACAAAAAAUUCUUGGGGAGCGUUGAUCUUAUCUCUUCUAUUGCUUUGCCUAUUGUUGCUUUCUACUGAUUUAUAGCAUCUGGACACUGCUUCUCCAGUGUGCAUUUUAAUACCUACUUCAUCAUCAAACUUUUAAGAUAGAAUUCUGUGUAUUGUUGAUUUUUAAUCACCCUUGGUCGGUAGAUUUCUUACACGGGCCCCCUAAAAACCAUUAUAGAAAUGUAUAGAUUAGUCUUUCUUGAGUGAGGUAAUCAUUCUGUUUCAUCUAUGGUGACCAGGGAAGGAUGGUCUUGUGGAACAGGUUGUGGCAAUUCGUGAGACUCACCAAAAAAGAUACACUCUGAAUGCAUGUCCUAUAAGAGGGUAAUAGUGGGGUCGUGAGAACUAUUAAUGGUGGUUAUGAUAGACAUUAGGCUAUUAACCUAUCUAGCGGAACAAGGGACCUAGUUAAGUUGUGCUAAAUGCUUGGCUUAUAUUACUUAAAUCAAUCUUCAUACAAAUCCUAUAAAAUAGGAAUAGUCUCCAUAUUUUAUAAAUGAAGAAACUAAAGAUCAGAGAACUUUCCCAAGGUUAGUAUGGCUAUCAAAAGUUAGAAGUAAUCUAAAUUCAUAUUUAAUCUGUGUUUCUAUCUCCAAGGAAUUCUUUCUUCCUCUUUCCCAUAUUCCUCAAUGAUAUAUCCUAGGACUUGGAAGUAAUUUGAUUUUAACAGGAUUCUUAACUUAUACUGAUACAAUCAUAUUAAUGACUUGGUCCUGGUAUCUGGGAAAGUCUAAAUUUUACAGUUAUAUAAAAUGAGAUCUCUGUAUGAAACACGUAUUUUUCUCUGGAAUACACGUUUUUCAACUGUUGGUUAUUAGCAUGACAUCAACUCUUCACAGUGGCCCAGGAGCCAUUGUAUGCCUUUGCAAAUGCAUGUAAAUUAUAAAUCACUAUGUAAGUUCAUGUAAGCCAUUAUUUUUAUACUACUAUCACAGAUAUAUGCCUAUAGGAAUUGCUAGAAAUACACAGUAGUAAGAGUGGUAUCAAUUUGGCUUUCAAAAUCAUAUAUAAAUUGUUCCUAGGGCAGCCUGGAUGGCUCAGCGGUUUAGCGCCGCCUUCAGCCCAGGGCCUGAUCCUGGAGAUCCGGGAUCAAGUCCCACAUCAGGCUCCCUACAUGGAGCCUACUUCUCCCUCUGCCUCUGUCUCUGCCUCUCUCUCUCUCCUCUCUGUGUAUUCUCAUGAAUAAAUAAAUAAAAUCUUAAAAAAAAAACCCUGUAAACAAUAAAAUAAAAUAAAUUGUUCCUAAACUACCAGUACUCUGUACCUUGAAAGUUGUUAUAAAGACUGUUACAGAGUUACAAAUUUGGAGGAAAUUUGCAAAAACUAAAAUAAACCUAUCUUAAUUUUUUAAAGAUUUUAUUUACUUAUUCAUGAGAGACACACAGAGAGAGGCAGAGACAUAAGACGCCCUGUGGGGAGCCUUAUGCAGGACUCGGAUCACGCCCUGAAUGGAAGGCAGAUGCUCAACCACUAAGCAACCCAGGCAUUUUGAUCUAUCCUACUUUAACACUCAGAAAUUAUGUAUUUCAUAUUUUGGUAUAUUUAGUUU
rnacentral:lncRNA from 1 species